GUUAUUCGCAUUUACUAUUGAUAGAGUUGUGUCCCUUAGCCGGAUGUGACGUAAUUAGGUGAUAAAUAAAUCCGCCAGAGAGAAAAUUGUACAGAGUCGCUGAUAAUAUCAACGUCUCUUGCAGUACAUAUAUCUCAAAGUGGAUCAUCCUCAGCUGGAAAUGUAUGAUAGCUGGGCAGCCCAUGACCUAUCAAUCCGUAGCCAGUGCUGAGACAGUUAGGCACACAGCAAAUCCUAUCCUACAUGGUCAGGCUGCAAUAGUUUCCUUCUCACUGCAACAUACUUGGCCAUGAAGCAGUUGACACUCUGGCAUAGGAGGGCACUAUCAUAGAGCAGAAGGACAGCUCAACCACCUUCAAAGAAACCAAAACCGUCAUCAAGGCAAAGCAACACAUCAGGUGGAUGCAGCAGCAUCCAUGAUAUACAACAGAUUCAUCCCUUCAAUCUGCUUUCAAGAUCAGGACAGGCCAGCUGUUUCAUUUCCUGGAUUGGCAAGCGAGAGAAUGGUCUGUUGCAGCCAAUAACUCCUGUCAUCUAAAAUACUGGCUGAUAGUUUGUUGCUGGCUGCCCAUCUUCAAAAAGAUGUCACCUGAAACGAGCAUUAACUUCAUUUUAUUACAAGUUAUAUGGUGAAUCAGCUAAAAUUAAAUAACAUGGCAAAUGCUAAUGAUAUGUUUUGAGAAAAAAAGCAUUUAUAAAUAUUUACUUAUUCCUUACAGUUCUUUGCACAUUUAAAACAUAGUUAUUUAAGUUUUGGUUUAAGAAUAAGUACGCAAUUUUUUGUGAUGUGAUUUGUGUAAAAUAUCAAUUAAUAUGCCUUAAAGCAUGCCAAUUUCUAAUGUAUGAGGAUUAUUCAUUAAAGUUUGUACACAUACCUUCCAAUUAUUGUGCAUCAAAAAUGAUUGUGAAAACUUUCUGGCGUAGCAUAUUUUGAGAACUAAUGAACUGUUCAAAUAAUCAUAAUUGCAGCUUUUCUCUGACAACACUGCAGAUUAUUUUAAAUAAAUAGCGAAGUCAAUUACUAGUACAGUAUUAGGUCCUAGUUUGUGCUGUACUUUGGAUGGUUGCCACAAAUAAUUGGCAGCAUUUAUGUCCUCAGUGGUUGGCAUCCGGGACACAAUGUAGAAUAUAUUACUAUUUAAAAAAAGUAAAUA